UGGCCGCAUCAUUUUGAAACAUCGAUUCCCGUACGAUCACCGAAGUUAAGCAAUGUCGAGCCUGGUCAGUAACUAGAUGGGUGACGGCUUGAAGAAUAACAGGUGUUGUAAU